rnacentral:lncRNA from 1 species
CCUCCAAGUGACACAAGUCGACCACUCGCGACUUCGUCGCUCGGGUCGCGCGCUUCCUCCCCCCGCGCCCUCCCUCCACCAUGGUCGACUUGUGGCAAGUCCAAGAAAACAUCAGCGGAGUGAAAUGAAGACUCGUAUUUGGCAAUUUUACAUCUUUCAAGAGUAGAAUUGCAUUGCAAGUUGCAAAAAAAUUGAACCGUGCAACAUGGCCUUUAUAUGAAAGCGGUUUUAUAUACAGAGUCCCGUGACAUACACUAUCGCGGGAAGGCCUGAGCUGUGUGACAUGACUGGUUAUAUUAUUUGUUUGCCACGUGUGUAAUAAUUGUCCUGUAGAAUAGCUGAUAAAUAUAUGGGCAUCGAAUUAUCCGAAAUCAUGGAUCAUGUUGUGGGUCACGAGGGCAAACCGUGCAGCAUAAUCUACCACUCGGGACUGUGCUACAUUCAAUGGUAGUAUCUGUUCAGUGGGCGUCCCAUGAUACAUCACAAGUAACGGCGGACUGAUAUUAAUCAACUUGCACGUGUUGUUUGCUCGUAUCCUGUUAGAUCCUUGACAACACGCCCUCGUACCAGGACAGAAUUUCAGGUUUGGGGAUGAGGUACUGUAUGGGAGUAGGAUGGAAAGAGGGAUUGGGAGACAAGUGUAAGAGAUAAAUUGGUGGGAUGAGCAACUGAGAACAAGAGGUGACCCAUCUUUUCAUCCCAAUACCUUCAUUGCACUGAGCAGAUGAGGCGAGUGUUGCUGAAUAGAUUAUUAACCAAAAUGCAAUUUUAAUUCGGAAGGUAUGUACGCUGUAAUAUAUAGCGUAAUUUCUUUAUCAAGUCACCAGGAUGCUUAUUUUUUCAAGCACGUAGAGCAGGGGUUGGGAUAACCUGAAUAUCAGGCUCUAUUUUACAAAUAAUAGCCUGACACAAACCUUAACCCGAUCGCUUUCCACCCACAGAAAAGUUUACAUUUAGUAUCCAAUCAAAAUUACACAACGACAACAACAAUCUAAUUAUAGUUGUGAUCACUAUAAAAUAUAUUAUGGACUUUUGUGAAGGUUUGUAUCUGGACCAACUUAGCCGGCAUUUGUCUCAAAUCAAUCCAAAUUUAGUUAUUUUGGAUAGAUAAAUAAAUUAUCUAUAUUUCCAAGUGUAUACAGCAUUUUUCAUGCAGCAACCCUUUCUCACCAACCAACCAAACGCUAUAUGUAGAGGCAUGUGCUAAAACCUGGACAAUGGACGAUUUUUAUUUAGCUACAGCCGUUUCAACAAAUUCAGUUUUCAAAUUUAAUCUCCGGCUAUCACUUUGUCACUAUAGACACUAUACUAUCAAUUUGACACACCUUAAUGACCUUACUUACUUACUUAUUGAAAUUUGAUUGACAGUUCAUUAAAUAGAAAUAUACAAAUUUAUAACAUUUUAAUCAAUGUUACAAUUCUGGACGUUGCACUUUUAUCAGUUGAUUAAUAUCGUAAAUCUAUUGGGUAGGGAUAAAACACGGAUACGGACGGCACGGAUGGCACGGAUACGGACGAGGGGAUAAAACACGCACGAGGGGAUAAAACACGGGCGAGGGGAUAAAAUACGGACGAGGUGAUAAAACACGGACGAGGUGAUAAAACACGGACUAGGUGAUAAAACACGGACGAGGGGAUAAAAUACGGACGAGGGGAUAAAACACGGACGAGGGGAUAAAACACGGACGAGGGGAUAAAAUACGGACGAGGGGAUAAAACACGCACGAAGGGAUAAAACACCGACAAGGUGAUAAAACACCGACGAGGGGAUAAAAUACGGACGAGGAGAUAAAACACGGACGAGGGGAUAAAAUACGGACGAGGGGAUAAAACACGGAUGAGGGGAUAAAACACGGACGAGGGGAUAAAAUACGGACGAGGGGAUAAAACACGCACGAAGGGAUAAAACACCGACAAGGUGAUAAAACACCGACGAGGUGAUAAAACACGGACGAGGUGAUAAAACACGGACGAGGGGAUAAAAUACGGACGAAGGGAUAAAACACGGACGAGGGGAUAAAACACGGAGGAGGGGAUAAAACACGGAUGGGGGAAUAAAACACUGAUGGGGGGAAUAAAACACGUACGAAUGGGGGAAUAAACGUAAUUAUUAUAUAUCAAUAGUCAAAGUCGCAUUUUCUAGUAUUGAGAGUGGUUGAGACCAUAUCACGGGAGAGUGACGAAAUUAGGCUGUCUCCCUCGCAACAGCGCGAGAGGGAGAUAAUACAUUAUCAACCGGCGAAUAAGAAAAAAAAUCACGAGCGCCAUCACGUGAAGAUGCGACCUUUGGACAUGCCUAGUACGUAAUUAAAACUUUCGCUUUAAGUAACUGCAGUGUAGCGAGUGUUUAAUAUAACGUUUUAGCAAUAAAAUAUUUCAUGUAUUUACGUUCAUUUGUUCUACUCCUUGUCGACAAGUAGUUUCGCAUUACACUACAAUUCAAUUUUUCAAAUGUAAAUAUCGCGGCGAGUAUCGCGGCGAGUAAAAUGCGUAAUUUGAUCGUAUUCGAUCUCACUUUACUUUUAAAGCUCAUAAAUCGCUAUAAUGUUGCCAAUGACUAAAACUAUUGCUACGAGUGAGGAGAUCUUGUCACACUGAAUCGAAUGGUGGUAUUUUUGUCCUCAUAGCAUUCAAUGAACCGAAGAUAUUAAAUCGGAAAAGCGUAUUUCUUACAAGCAUUGCGGUAAUAGGGUCGUGUCGUUAAAGAGUUUAAUUUGUUGUUUCCUUGAAAAAUAACCAUUUUUGGGAGGAAAGUGGUUAUCUUUACCGCGCUAAUGGGCACCCGUAAUUAAAGUUGUAAAAAAAUUCAUGAUAUAAGAAACAAUUUAAACACAAAUGAUAAACCCAUACCAUAUAAAACUCGUCUUGUAAUCUGCUGGCUUGUUAUGACGUAGAAUUUACUGCAGAGCGACAUAUGUGUGAGAAUAUAACGUUAUUGAAUAGAAAGUGUGGCAAGUGAUUAAACUAACAAAUGCUUUUUUUAUAUCGCAUAAACAGCGGGUGUUAAUCAGACACGUAAAAGGUUCAAAUGUAAACUGCUAGUACAAGCAACUAACAUGUGUUGAGUGUCUUGUUUCUCGAGCUUCCUCAGUAAAUUUUGUAUUCUCAAAAUAUCAAGUAAUUAAAAUGAAUCCUUGCCUUAUCUUCCUUAGUUCAACAGGUACUCGAAUAGUUCGUACUUAUUGAAUGUGCGCACAGUUACGUUUAUUCCCCCAACCGUGUUUUACCCCCAAAACAGUGUUUUAUCUCCCCAUCCGUAUUUUAUCCUCUCGUCCGUGUUCUAUCCCCUCGUCCGUGUUUUAUCCCCUCGUCUGUGUUUUAUCCCCUCGUCCGUGUUUUAUCCCCUCGUCUGUGUUUUAUCCCUUCGUCCGUGUUUUAUCCCCUCAUCCGUGUUUUAUCAACUCGUCCAUGUUUUAUCCCCUCGUCCGUGUUUUAUCCUCUCGUCCGUGUUUAAUCCCCCAUCCGUGUUUUAUCCCCUGAUCCUUGUUUUAUCCCCUCGUCCGUGUUUUAUCCCCUCGUCCGUGGUUUAUCCUCUUGUCCAAAUUUUAUUCCCUCGUCCGUGUUUUAUCCCCUCUUCCGUGUUUUAUUCCCUCGUCCACGUUUUAUCUCCUCGUGCAUGUUUUAUCCCCCAUCCGUGUUUUAUCCCCCAUAUGUGUUUUAUCCCCCCAUCCGUGUUUUAUCCCUUCGUCCAUGUUUUAUUCCGUCGUCCGUGUUUUAUCCCCUCUUCCGUGUUUUAUUCCCUCGUCCACGUUUUAUCUCCUCGUGCAUGUUUUAUCCCCUAUCCGUGUUUUAUCCCCCCAUCCGUGUUUUUUCCCCUCGUCCAUGUUUUAUUCCCUCGUCCGUGUUUUUUCAACACGUCCAUGUUUUAUUCCCUCGUCCGUGUUCUAUCCCCUCGUUCUUGAUUUAUCCCCUCGUCCGUGUUUUAUCCUCUCGUCCGUGUUUAAUCCCCCAUCCGUGUUUUAUCCCCUGAUCCUUGUUUUAUCCCCUCGUCUGUGUUUUAUCCCCUCGUCCGUGUUUUAUCCUCUUGUCCAAAUUUUAUUCCCUCGUCCGUGUUUUAUCCCCUCUUCCGUGUUUUAUUCCCUCGUCCACGUUUUAUCUCCUCGUGCAUGUUUUAUCCCCCAUCCGUGUUUUAUCCCCCAUCUGUGUUUUAUCCCCCCAUCCGUGUUUUAUCCCCUCGUCCAUGUUUUAUUCCCUCGUCCGUGUUUUAUCCAUUCGUCCGUGUUUUAUCCACUCGUCCAUGUUUUAUCCCCUUGUCCGUGUUUUAUCACCUCGUCCGUGUUUUAUCCACUCGUCCAUGUUUUAUCCCCUUGUCCGUGUUUUAUCCCCUCGUCCGUGUUUUAUCACCUCAUCCGUGUUUUAUCCCCUCGUCCGUGUUCUAUCCCCUCAUCCUUGUUUUAUCCCCUCGUCUGUGUUUUAUCCCCUCGUCCGUGUUUUAUCCUCUUGUCCAAAUUUUAUUCCCUCGUCUGUGUUUUAUCCCCUCUUCCGUGUUUUAUUCCCUCGUCCACGUUUUAUCUCCUCGUGCAUGUUUUAUCCCCUAUCCGUGUUUUAUCCCCCCAUCCGUGUUUUUUCCCCUCGUCCAUGUUUUAUUCCCUCGUCCGUGUUUGUUCAACACGUCCAUGUUUUAUUCCCUCGUCCGUGUUCUAUCCCCUCGUUCUUGAUUUAUUCCCUCGUCCACGUUUUAUCUCUUCGUCCAUGUUUAAUUCCCCAUCCGUGUUUUAUCCCCUCAUCCUUGUUUUAUCCCCUCGUCCGUGUUUUAUCCCCUCGUCCGUGGUUUAUCCUCGUGUCCAAAUUUUAUUCCCUUGUCCGUGUUUUAUUCCCUCUUCCGUGUUUUAUUCCCUCGUCCACGUUUUAUCUCCUCGUGCAUGUUUUAUCCCCCAUCCGUGUUUUAUCCCCCAUCCGUGUUUUAUCCCCUCAUCCGUGUUUUAUCCCCUCGUCCAUGUUUUAUUCCCUCGUCCGUGUUUUAUCCACUCGUCCAUGUUUUAUCCCCUUGUCCGUGUUUUUUCAACUCGUCCAUGUUUUAUUCUCUCGUCCGCGUUUUAUCCACUCGUCCGUGUUUUAUCCCCUCGUCCGUGUUUUAUCCCCUCGUCCAUGUUUUAUCCCCUCGUCCGUGUUCUAUCCCCUCGUUCUUGAUUUAUUCCCUCGUCCACGUUUUAUCUCUUCGUCCGUGUUUUAUCCUCUUGUCCAAAUUUUAUUCCCUCUUCCGUGUUUUAUCCCCUCUUCCGUGUUUUAUUACCUCGUCCACGUUUUAUCUCCUGGUGCAUGUUUUAUCCCCCAUCCGUGUUUUAUCCCCCCAUCCGUGUUUUCUCCCGUCGUCCUUGUUUUAUCCCCUCGUCCGUGUUUUAUCACCUUGUCCGUGUUUUAUCCCCUUGUCCGUGUUUUAUCCCCUGGUCCGUGCUUUAUUCCCUCGUCCGCGUUUUACAUGUGUCUCCUCGUGCAUGUUUUAUCCCCCAUCCGUGUUUUAUCCCCUCGUCCGUGUUUUAUCCCCUCGUCCAUGUUUUAUCCCACCGUCCGUGUCCGUGCCGUGCGUAUCCGUGUUUUAUCCCCCAGCCUAUCUAGAUUUAUUGUUCUAUCACGUUCAAAUUUACCAUGGAAUAUACCUUCUCGGAAGUUUUACAAGGUAAAGUAACAAUAAAAUUGAAAUGAGAAUGUUUGACUGGUAGUAUAACCCUGAAGCAUGCA